UCAUUACCAUUUUCUUAGAAAAUACGUCUUUCUCUUAAAUGCAAAUGAAAGUGGAGACUGGAGAGAGCAGUAUAUAUAAUUAAUAAUUAAUAUAUGCUCCCACGGCUUCUCCUACGAAAACGACGGCGACGGAGACCACCCUGAUUGCCACCCACUCCCACGGCCUUGAUUGCCAUAACCACCUUCAAAAGAACUUCCGCUUCCACUCCCACGGCCUCUAUUGUCACCAGCGCUUCCACUCCCACUACAAUCUGUAAGUAUAUACCUUUGGUAUUUAAAUCAGAAUUCCAUACAUUCUUUUGAAUUAUGGUAUUGCAAAAUCUCUAUUACACUCUCUACUCGGCGAUAAGCGAAAAUCUUUGUCGCUUUUGAGUUUUGAUCCCUCUAAUACAUUCUACGCAGUAAUUCCCUCUCUUAUUUCUUUAUUUUCGGCCAUUAUCGUCAAUUAUUUAAUUCUCAUGCUAAAUUAUUUCUAUUUUUAAACACUUCAAUCGUUACACUAAUUUUUUUAUGGCCAAUUUGUGUUAGUUUUCAUGCCGUUUUGCGCUGAAUCCCCCAUAAAUCUUAUAGUUGGAGUUAAAAUAGGUUUGUGAUUUUAAUCAGUUAUGGAUUCCUUGGCAUGGACAUUGAAGAGUAAUGGUAGCUUUUGUCCAACUUUUCAAUUUUUUACUUUUUAUUUCUAUCUUCUGUGGGUAUGUUUAUAUAAUACAACUAUUUAAUUGUUUGGUCAAUACUUUUUGUAUUAUCGUAUGAGAACGAUGAUACUGUUUGUAAUUGUUUAAUGGGUUUUAUUAACUUUAUCUCUUAUAAAAGAUUUAACUUUGUCUUGUAUUUCGAUGUUGUUUACAUAGUUCCUUUGUUUACUCCAUUAUAUUUUUAAGAAAAAAUUGUUUGGGAAUAAUUUUAUUUAUUGACAAUCUGCUGUGAAUAAUUCGUACUAUCGAUUAUUUAUGAAUAAUUUUAUCUUUUCACUAUUUUUACUAGUGACACCCUUGAAAAAAGUGAUUGGCUAACGAAGGUUUUCAUGUGGAUUUUAUUUCUUCUAUCCCCUUUAUUUCAUCUAUCUCCUUAGAAAUCUAUUUUCAAACCAUCAUCUUCAAAUUCCUCUUCCAUCUUCAAAUUCCAAAUCAUCAUCUUCAAACCAAGAAGUAAACCAAUACAUUUUGCUGGCUUGAUGUUGGUAUUGAAGUUCAUAUUUUCAGAAAUAAAAAAAAUGAAGAAGAUGGGUGAACAAGGUAAGUGAAGAAGAAGAAGAACCAAAAUGAAGAAAGUAAGUGAAGAAGAAGAAUAAGAAUGAAGAAAAUUAAGGUCAAGGAAGAAGAUGGAUGAACAAGAUAAAGGGAUAAAAGGGAAUGAAAAUAGUACCUGCAACAACUACAUGGAAACCUGCAUUAGUCGGUCACUUUUUUUUCAGGGGUGUCACGAGUAAAAAUAGUGGAAAGGUGGGAUUAUUCAUAAAUAAUCGAUAGUAUAGAUUAUUUACAGUGAAUCGUCAAUAAUAAAUGAGAUUAUUCAUGACAAUUUUUCAUAUUUUUAAAAAGUUUCUUUUAUGUGGUGCAUGUUUGUUACUUGAUGUUGUUAUUUGCUUUGUAUAAAUUUGACAUUGGAAACACUUUAGUUUAAGCCAAGUAGUUGUCAUGCUUGGAUGUUUAGGGACUUGGAAGAUUGCUUUUGUCUUGCAUGAUAAUUGUUGUGUUUCGCCCAUUGAUGAUUGAGUGGAUGAUCAAUUAUGUGCCACCUGGAUUGUUUCAUGUUUGAUUCAAUUUUUCUAUAACAGUAUAUGUACGCAUCCCUUUUCCCUUUGUUUUUUUUGGGAGUGGAGCGGAGGGUAGGGGUGUAGCUGUUAAAAUGUGAUUCGACUUGAUAACUUGAAUAGACCUGAAAGUUAUCCGAUUUGAAAAUGUGUUUAUUUUUAAGGUUUAUUGAACCAAACUUGUACCCGUACCGAUUGACAACUGAAUCCGAACUGCGACCGAUUUUUAUAACCGACAUAUAACCGUUAACCGAGUCAUCGAACCUAAUAAUGACCGAACUAAAUCAUAUCUAACCCGAAUCAUGCGAAAUCGAACUCGAACCGGUUAAAACCGAUUUAACCCGAACUAAUUCAAAAUCGAACUACUGUAAACCUCAACCAAUUUUUAAUAUAGAAGUAUGAUCGAUUCAUAUUCAGUCAUCUUAUUAGUUAAUCUAAUAAAGUUAUAGAUCUUUUCAUAAAUUAAAUUUUAUAAAAUACAUAAUUUCACAUAUUUAGAGUUAAUAAUCAAUGGUCAAUGUUUAUUAAAUUAUUUUUAAUCAAAUUAGAUGAAAAAUGAUAGAACUUAAAUUUUAGUUUAAAGGCAAACAAGUAAUAGUAACAAACUAAUAAUCACUAUUGAUUUGCAUGGUAACUAUUUUUCCGUAAGUAAAGAGAAUCUGAUCAUUGAUUAAAAUACAACUAGUAAGUUAAUCUGAUAUUGACUCGAUCGAAAGUAAUUAGUAAAUUGUAGCCGAAUUCUACUUGAAGAAAAUACCCUUCCCGAUCUGUACCAGGUAAAACCAAAGUAUUUAUUAACCGAUGACAAAUCGAGACCAAUUGACACUCGACUCGAACUUCAUCUGACACUGAACCGAUGCAAACACAAUAUCUCGAAUAACUAAUGUUCAACCGAACCGCGACUAACUGUCGCGACUGGAGUGUGACCCGGCGGAACAUGCAUCCGGGAAAGAACUGAUCCGAAAUACAAUCGAACUAAAUUACAACGGUCUGAAACCGAUCCGAUAACCCGAAUGAACACUUAGAGGAGUGAUGUUAGAAACCUGUUUUUGGACAGAAGAUGCAUUAGCUUUUUCUAGUAAGCAUUUGUUUGUCACAUAUUACAUUACGCUUUGCUUUGGCUCUGUAAUUACUUGACCAGAUUCAGGAUCUAGUUCUGAACUGGAGUUAGAAUUAGAUUCUUUUUAGUUAGAUGAUAUUGUAAAAAAAAAUCAAGAGCUAUUGGUGAGGAACAAGCUAUACAACAAAGGGAAGCACAAAAAGAAUUGUAUUUGCAGCUCAACAUUCAAGAGGAAUAAGAUGGAUUCAUAUUGCCAAUACAGGAAGUGUUUUGUUUCUCUUUUAAAUCAAUAUUUCCUAAGUGUAUCUUACUCAAUCUAGAGAUGUUUAAAUAUUUUAGGAGCUGGAAGAAGAGGCUCAUCAACCUCCUGAUCUUACAAGUCGUGGAAGGCGAAUACACCAAAGAAUGUUGUGAUUUACUAUGUAAAAUGUCACAUGUCUGUGCAUGACUUUAUUAACAAGGAGCAGUUGAAGUUCAUUUUCAGCCAGUCAUGUUGUUCAUGCCUAAUAUCUUUUUCAAUGAUUUUAGUUGUGCGGGUGCUCUCCAACUUUAAGGCUUUAAAGCAGAAAGGAGUGGCGAGUUCUUGUCCUCAUACUAUGGCUACAAUGAGCUCCUUAUUGGGGUGCUAAUGGAGAUGUUUCCACCUCAUGACUUACUAAGGCUUAUUGAAGCUUUUAAAACCCCGCGUCCUAUUUGCUGAAGAACUAUAAAGAUGUAGACCCGCGGGCGUGACUUUGCUGAUGUUCUAUUAAACAGAGGAGUGAACUUAGCACCUAUUGGCAAGUGGUCAAAGGUUGGGCUGGUUUUGGAUGGGUCACAAAUGCCAGUUGGUGCUACUCCAGAAUAUAUGGGAAAAUUUGAAAGAUAUAAGUAAGUUAAUGUAAAAGAAUCUUAAAAUAAAUAUUGUUUAAACAAAUUUCCCAAACAAGUACUUUAAGUCCAAUGCUAAAGAUUUGUAGUACGUUCGCUCUUAGUAACAACGGCCAAUUAUUAAGUUGAGUCAACAAAAGUCAGCCCAGUAAUGGGCCACUUCAAAUGAACCUCUUUUACUAAUAGUAGCCCAUUAAUAAGUUGAGUCAAAGAAAGUCAGCCCAAUAAUCGGCCGCUGUUACCAAUUGUUGGGCCGACUUUCUUUGACUCAACUUAUUAAUGAGCCGCUGUUAGUAAGUGAGAACAUAUACCAAACCUUAGUAUUGGGCUAAAAAUACUUAUUUUGGGAAAUAUGUUUAAACAAUGUCUAAUUUAAGAUUUUUUUAUAUCAAAUUGCUUAUUUAUUUCAAAUUUUCAAUAUAUAGCUGGACAUUUCAUGCUUCAAAGUGCAUCUUCUUUUUUGCCGGUGGUGGCCUUAGCUGCACAAGAAAAUGAGAAAGUUGCAGAUAUGGCGUGAUAUCCAAAGACGUGUCUGUAAAAUCCACAAAAAGUUUCAAAGAAGUCCAGAAUUGUUCCCAGUUGUAGAAGCCUGCACCUUAUUCCUUCGAGGCAUCUGACACAUCAUUGCGGUGUGUCCUCAACGACACCGAGGAAAUUGAUGAGGAGAAAACUAAGAAAAGAAAGAGAGGAGAUGAAAAGCCACAAGAGAAAAAAGGCCACACAAAAGAGCAAGCUACACAAUCGCCUUAUGCGAAACGGGAAGGAAGAAUCUCUAAAACAUGCUGUCAAAAAGAUUAGUGAGGAUGCAGCUCCUGUACCAGCAAAGAGCAAGUUUGACCUGUUCACGGUGUAAGCUGCUGUGCGUAUUUGUGGAGCUAGCUGUUCGCAAUUACUAACUGCGAACAGGUCAAAAAAAAAGCGAAAGUUGUUCGCAGUUAGUAACUGCGAACAAUUAUUGUGUUUUUUAUGACUUGUUCGUAGUUAAAAAUUGCAAACAGUCUCAAACCACAGGUUUGAAAAUUUCACGCUUACUUUUGAAAAUAAGUUGAAACUUAUCUUAUUUGGUUCAUUUUGUUGAUAAUUCGGCUUAAUCAUUUCAAAUUUUCUUAUAAGGUUUGGGCUGAAUAAAGUGACUAUUAAAAUAAAAGAACAUGGGCUAGAUAAAGGUCGACAUUAACUCCCCCUUCAACUUAAACCCUAACGUUACGAAUCUCGCUAGCCCUUCCUCUUCCCUAAUUUUCAAAAUUGAAAACUUAAACAUCCUCCCUUCUGUCUUACACCAAACUCUUCCCAACCAGAUUAGUUGCAGAACAUACUGGGGAGAUGCAAAGGAGAAAUUUAUGGCAGCAAUUGAAGAUCUGAAACUUGAUUUCUUGGUCUCUGUGGGCCUCAAAAGGUCUUAUAAUGAUCUAUUUUUAAAAAUUGAUUUUCUGGAGAGUUUUGGUCUGAACGGCCUGUUUGGAACUUCAUUUUCUAUAAUCUAAAAGGAAAGCUAAUAACUCUUUUUGAAUUAAGAAAGUUAUACACAAUUUUAUAGCAUCACAGUCCUAAAAAAUAUGAUAAAUGGGUUGGAUUGGGCUUGAUGGACCCAUUCUGUUUCUACUAGAGGCCAACCCGGCCCUUAUAUGACCUGUUGCACAGCUUAUGCCAGAUGUCCUUUCCAUGAAGAAAUUACAAAUACAAACAAAAGUUUACCUUUAAGUCUUUAAUAAUUACAAAAGUAUGGACGUAAAACAGAUUCAAUAUAAUUUUUUUAUGCCAGCUAAAGAUAUAAGAAUAUUCACAAGUGCAUUAAUUCUGAGUCUUUACAUUAUACAGCUCACAGACCGUUUCUAGUCCGAAUUUUGCUUAAAGCGAAUGAAUGUUGCAAACUUCCAGGAGAAUAAUUCAACCAGUCAGGAACGGAACAUGGGCGAUUGUAGUAGGCAGAGAGAUAUUGAGGUUAUGCAAUGCCAAAUAAGCUGCAAUUCCCGCUGCAUAACCAGCAAAAGCAAAACCACUCACCUGUGCAUAACGACCAAGAUACUUAUCAACCCCAUUCUACGUAGAGGAACAGACAAAGAUUAUGUCAUCAAAAUAAAAGCAUUACCUUCCUCAAGUACCAAAAGAAAUCGAUCUUUUCCAAGCCCAUAAAUGCAACUCCGGCAGCAGAUCCUAUAAUUAGCAUGGAACCGCCAGUGCCAGCACAAUAUGCAACCAACUGCCAGAAUUCAGAGUCUUUCGGGAAACUAGAUACAUCAUACAUUCCCAUUGUGGCAGCAACAAGAGGAACAUUGUCUAUAAUUGCUGAAAAAACUCCUAUUGCACUAGCAAUCAGUUCAACAUUUGGGAUAUGGGAAUCAAGGUAAUUUGCCAGCUCCCGAAGGAUUCCUGCUGCUUCCAAGCUACAGUCAAGAAAAUAGCCUGUAAGAAUAGCUAGAAAAGAUCACACAAAUAUUAACAAAAGGGAAAUAAAGAAUUUUCAGUGAAGCACAAAGUAGCAGAUCAAGAUCAACUUUGUGAAGCAAAAGGCAAAAUAUCAACUAAAGACUGAAGAGAUGGAAAAGGACUUGAUGUUACCUGCUAACAGACAAAAGAAUCCCUAGGAAAAAAAGAGCUCCUUGAGUAUCAAUUCGAGACAAUGCUUGGGGAACCUUCAGUUUCUGUCUUUCUGAUUCACCAUAAUGAAUGGCAUCUGUCAAAAUCCAGAGAACACCCAGUCCUAAUAGCAUACCCAUAUAUGGGGGCAGACCAGUUAAGGCUUUGAACACAGGAACAAAGAUCAAAGCACCAAUUCCCACUGAGAAAACAAGCUGUCCUCGAGGUGCCAUCUGCUCAGAUGCCAAGACACUGGAAGUUUCUAGCCCCUUUCCAUUCACUUCACUAUGAGGAAGGGAAGCGAUAGACAUAGUUUCAGCAAAAAAGAAUGAACAUUUUUUUAAGCAGACAUAACUACCAAACUCAUUUUUUGAAGACAUGUACCUUGUAAGAGACAUAAGGGCCAAUGGGACAGCCAAUGAGAUAGCAGAAGGUAUAACCAAGUCCUGAACAAAUAGGAAAUAUUAAGUUAGCAGAACAUGUCCUAUAUUGGAAUCAGAAUGCAACGGGGCCACCCCGCAAAAAAAGCUCAUGCAAACCCUUUGUUUUUUAUUGUGGCCACUCCCAAUGUUAAGUAAAAUAGGAGUAUAAACAAAGGCCAAAGAAGGUUUAUUCUUACAAGUAAAUUAGAGAAAGAUGAGCAUCACAGCGUGGGCCCAUUAUGGCAUUGUUCAUACUGCUUUUCAUUUCUUCUUUGAAGACUUAGAGGCUGUGGCCUCAUGUUUUUUAAUUAUAGAUUUUGGGACAAUAUAAUUUAAUCAACAUACUGGUAAAUAGACAAUGAAAAUUUGGAAUUAUGGAGA